rnacentral:ncRNA from 1 species
UGGUAGUUUUAUUCUUGCUUAAUUGUUCAUUAUCGUCUUGCUUUAUAUGUAAGUUCUUGCGUGAUUUUAUUCAUUAUCCUUGAUGGAUUUUGUUUUGUUAAUUUUUAUUCGCAUUAUUUAUUUUUAUAUAUUUUGGUUUCUUUGAUUUAGCAAUGUUUAGUUAGUGCCGGCUAAGUUUGUGCCAGCAGCCGCGGUUAUACAUUAGGCAUUAUUGAACAUUUUCGGUUAGGCAGUUUUAUUUUGUGUUUUGGUUUGAAUCGGGUUGGGUUGUAAAAUAAUUAAGGGUGAAAUCUUUAUUUCUGAUUAUUACUUUUAUUCGUUUUUGUAAGCUGUGAAAUCUUUUUUGUAAACUAGGAUUAGAUACCCUAUUAUUUUUGAUGUUAAGUAUUUUAUUCCUGGGUAGUAUUAGUUAUGUUCUUGAAACCUAAAGAAUUUGGCGGUACUCCACUCCUUUUAGAGGAAUCUGCCCCGUUAUCGAUGAUCCACGUUGGACCUUACUUAAUUUUUGUUGUUUGUAUACCGCCGUUGUAAUGAAGAUCUUUUUAGUGUUUUUAAUUUUCUGGUUUCAUUAUUUUGAUUGAUUUCAGGUCAAGGUGCAGCUUGUUUUUAAGUGUGAGGUGGAUUACAUUGUUUUAUUGAAGUUUUGGAUUAUUGGUUGUUAUGCCUGAUAUGAAAUUGGAUUUAAUUGUAAUAUGUUGAAGAUUAUUUUUAUGAUAUUGGUUCUGGAUUAUGCACACAUCGCCCGUCGCUCUCAUUUUUGUUGAGAUAAGUCGUAACAUAGUGGUCGUACCGGAAGGUGUGGCUGGAUUGGUC